rnacentral:tRNA from 1 species
AAGACUCUAGUUAAAUGUAAUAACACUGCUUUGUCAAGGCAAAAUAGUGGGUUCAACCCCCGCGAGUCUUA